UAAAAGGGUAAAUAAACCCUAAAAUUUGAUUCAAACAACCUUCCACCAUUUCAAUCUCAGCCGCAAGCAACAAAACAUCCUCUUCUCCACCAUUUCGAACUUUAUCGAUUUGUACUCUCAAAACCUCUGCCCCAAACUUCGAUCAAGGCGAAGAGAGCAGAGAUCCGACGGUGUGCUUUGAGAAGGUAAACUCCCUCUCCUUCCUCUUUUCCUUUUUUUGUUAUUUCGCAUAUAGAGAAAACAUAAAUUAAAAGAAACGGAGAAAAAAAAUUUUGCAAUCACCUUUCAAAUCUUUUUUUUUUGUUUCAAUUCCUCUUAACAUUUUUUCUUCUAUUCAAUAUGUGUGUGUGUAAUCCUUUUACAGUUUCUCAGACGGCCUUUUAUAGCCAAAAACUAAAAAUAAAAAAUCAAGAAAAUUUACAGAAUCCUCUUUUUUUCUAUCGUUUUCUGUUAUUUUCUUUGUUACUGCUUGUUGCUUGUUUGUUGUACAGGUACGACCAGCCUGGAGGAAACGCGCGUGGAUCUGGUGUGCGAGGAGUUGAAGGCACGUGCAUGUGCUUGGAUGCUAGAGUUGCUGACUGCUGUGGCGCCAGAAGGAUCUAGAAACCAUAAGGGUUUCUGGAAAAAUUUUGGUCGUUUGGGCCAUUAUAGCUGGGUCAAAUUGGGUUAAUUUUGGGUAGUUUAGGUUAGAAUAACUUGGGUUAUGUAUUUGGUAUUUGUAAUUCGGGUUUGGGCUGAUUGGGCCGUGAGUCCGUAAAUGGACAUUUAUUUAAUUAAAAUUUUGGUUUAAUUUUAAUAUUUGUAAAAACUAGGCUGUUAAUAGUGGAUAUUUUAAUUUAAUUUAUUUGUUUUUCUUUUUUAGUAUUUAUUGGGCCGGGCAAAAUGGGUUAUUACAAUAUGAAUUGGAGCAAAAACAUACAAUAGCAAUAUACACAAUUUCGGUCAACAAAGAAGCCAUAGUCAGAAACACUUACAUUUGGCCAACCCUAGUAAAGGGCUCAACUCUCAUUCAGCUAACACUAUGAUACAUGCACG
rnacentral:lncRNA from 1 species